GACGAACGCUGGCGGCGUGCUUAACACAUGCAAGUCGAGCGGUAGGGCCCUUUCGGGGGUACACGAGCGGCGAACGGGUGAGUAACACGUGGGUGACCUGCCCUCAGCUCUGGGAUAAGCCUGGGAAACCGGGUCUAAUACUGGAUAUGACUCCAUGACGCAUGUUGUGGGGUGGAAAGCCUUGUGCGGCUGAGGAUGGGCCCGCGGCCUAUCAGCUUGUUGGUGGGGUGANGGCCUACCAAGGCGACGACGGGUAGCCGGCCUGAGAGGGCGACCGGCCACACUGGGACUGAGACACGGCCCAGACUCCUACGGGAGGCAGCAGUGGGGAAUCUUGCACAAUGGACGAAAGUCUGAUGCAGCGACGCCGCGUGUGGGAUGACUGCCCUCGGGUUGUAAACCACUUUUCAGCAGGGACGAAAUUGACGGUACCUGCAGAAGAAGCCCCGGCCAACUACGUGCCAGCCGCCGCGGUAAC
rnacentral:rRNA from 1 species